rnacentral:misc_RNA from 1 species
UUUCCGUAGGUGAACCUGCGGAAGGAUCAUUACCGAGUACCGGGGCCCUUUGGGUCCCUGCUCCCACCCAAUGCGUACCCGACCUCGUUGCUUCGGCGGGCCGAGGGCCCCAGCCCUCGCCGGCCCCGCGGCUGGAGAGCGCCCGCCGGAGAACAUCAAGAACCUCUGUGAACAUGCAGUCUGAGUACCUUUGAGAAUGAAUCAAAACUUUCAACAACGGAUCUCUUGGUUCUG